rnacentral:tRNA from 1 species
GUUUUAAUAAUUUAAUAAAAAUAUUGGUCUUGUAAACCAAAAAUAAGAAAACAACCUUUUAAAACU